GACGAACGCUGGCGGCGUGCUUAACACAUGCAAGUCGAACGGAAAGGCCCUGCUUGCAGGGUACUCGAGUGUCGAACGGGUGAGUAACACGUGUGUGAUCUGCGCUGCACUUCGUGAUAAGCCUUGGAAACUGGGGCUAAUACCGGAUAGGAGCCAUUUUGUUGGUGAUUGUUGGAAAGUUUUUUCGGUGUAGGAUGAGCUCGCGGCCUAUCUGCUUGUUGGUGGGGUAAUGGCCUAACAAGGCGGCGACGGGUAGCCGGCCUGAGUGGGUGGACGGGCACAUUGGGACUGGGAUACGGCCCAGACUCCUACGGGAGGCAGCAGGGGGGAAUAUUGCACAAUGGGCGCGAGCCUGAUGCAGCGAAGCCGCGUGGGGGAUGACGGGCUUCGGGUUGUAAACUCCUUUCGCUAGGGACGAAGCUUUUUGUGACGGUACCUAGAUAAGAAGCACCGGCUAACUACGUG
rnacentral:rRNA from 1 species